rnacentral:rRNA from 1 species
CAGUAGCCGCGGGAAAACAGAGGGUGCGAGCGUUAAUCGGAUUUACUGGGCGUAAAGCGUGCGUAGGCGGCUUCUUAAGUCGGAUGUGAAAUCCCUGAGCUUAACUUAGGAAUUGCAUUCGAUACUGGGAAGCUAGAGUAUGGGAGAGGAUGGUAGAAUUCCAGGUGUAGCGGUGAAAUGCGUAGAGAUCUGGAGGAAUACCGAUGGCGAAGGCAGCCAUCUGGCCUAAUACUGACGCUGAGGUACGAAAGCAUGGGGAGCAAACAGGAUUAGAUACCCGCGUAGUCCCUGUCUCUUAUAA